AACAGUGACUGCUCUGAAACCUGCUUACCUUCAUCCAGAGGAGAAAUGCAUCCCCUGUCUGGACGCGGCACAGACCCAACAUCACUGAGAGCUGUCCACCCCCAAGUAUGUCUGCCACAAUCACCCCUGACUCACGCACAUGCAGCAGUUCCUCUCUCUGCACGAGGCAUUUAGCUGAUGAGGUCACUCCUUCCUGAGCCUGAGGACAAACACACGGUUUGUUGUGGAGAAGCAUCACAGGUGACCCACCUCACCCUGGACGGUCACUUUUCUCCACCUUUCCUCCAGGCAGACCGAGAGCCGCAUGACUCAAAGAGAGAGUUUCUUCCCUCCGGACGUCUCAGUUCAGAUACACUUUGAACUUUACAUUUUUAGAUUCAGAUUCAAAAUGCAUGUUUCCGGGUAACGAUGACCCAUUUAUGCAACUGACUGACUAAUUUUGUGUAAAUAAAUACAUUGAUUAUUAACGGUAUUCAAUGGA